UACGUAGGGUGCAAGCGUUGUCCGGAAUUAUUGGGCGUAAAGCGCUCGUAGGCGGUCUGUCGCGUCUGCUGUGAAAUCUCGGGGCUUAACUCCGGGCCUGCAGUGGGUACGGGCUGACUAGAGUGCGGUAGGGGAGAGUGGAAUUCCUGGUGUAGCGGUGAAAUGCGCAGAUAUCAGGAGGAACACCGGUGGCGAAGGCGGGUCUCUGGGCCGGAACUGACGCUGAGGAGCGAAAGCGUGGGGAGCGAACAGG
rnacentral:rRNA from 1 species